rnacentral:rRNA from 1 species
CAGCAGCAGCCGCGGUAAUACGAACCGUGCGAACGUUAUUCGGAAUCACUGGGCUUAAAGCGCGUGUAGGCGGGUCGUUACGUCGGCUGCUGAAAUCCCCCGGCUCAACCGGGGAACUGGCACCGAUACGAGCGGCCUUGAGGGGGGUAGGGGGGUCUGGAACUUCCGGUGGAGCGGUGAAAUGCGUUGAGAUCGGAAGGAACGCCCGUGGCGAAAGCGAGGCCCUGGACCCUUUCUGACGCUGAGACGCGAAAGCCAGGGGAGCGAACGGGAUUAGAUACCCCUGUAGUCCCUGUCUCUUAUA